rnacentral:rRNA from 1 species
CCUACGGGAGGCAGCAGUGAGGAAUAUUGGUCAAUGGACGCAAGUCUGAACCAGCCAUGCCGCGUGCAGGAAGACGGCUCUAUGAGUUGUAAACUGCUUUUGUACGAGGGUAAACGCAGAUACGCGUAUCUGUCUGAAAGUACCGUACGAAUAAGGACCGGCUAACUCCGUGCCAGCAGCCGCGGUAAUACGGAGGGUUCAAGCGUUAUCCGGAUUUAUUGGGUUUAAAGGGUGCGUAGGCGGUCGGAUAAGUUAGAGGUGAAAUCCCGAGGCUCAACGUCGGAAUUGCAGCUGAUACUGGUCGGCUAGAGAGUAGUUGAGGUAGGCGGAAUGUAUGGUGUAGCGGUGAAAUGCUUAGAGAUCAUACAGAACACCGAUUGCGAAGGCAGCUUACC